rnacentral:rRNA from 1 species
GACAGAGGGUGCAAACGUUGUUCGGAUUUACUGGGCGUAAAGCGCGUGUAGGCGGCUUGGCAAGUUGAAUGUGAAAGCCCACGGCUCAACCGUGGAAGCGCAUCCAAAACUGCUUCGCUUGAGUCUCGGAGAGGAAGGUGGAAUGCUUGGUGUAGAGGUGAAAUUCGUAGAUAUCAAGCAGAACACCGGUGGCGAAGGCGGCAUCCUGGACCGAGACUGACGCUGAGGCGCGAAAGCUAGGGGAGCAAACGGG